rnacentral:rRNA from 1 species
AGUGAACGCUGGCGGUAGGCCUAACACAUGCAAGUCGAACGGCAGCACAGUAAGAGCUUGCUCUUACGGGUGGCGAGUGGCGGACGGGUGAGGAAUACAUCGGAAUCUACUUUUUCGUGGGGGAUAACGUAGGGAAACUUACGCUAAUACCGCAUACGACCUACGGGUGAAAGCAGGGGAUCUUCGGACCUUGCUCGAUUGAAUGAGCCGAUGUCGGAUUAGCUAGUUGGCGGGGUAAAGGCCCACCAAGGCGACGAUCCGUAGCUGGUCUGAGAGGAUGAGCAGCCACACUGGAACUGAGACACGGUCCAGACUCCUACGGGAGGCAGCAGUGGGGAAUAUUAGACAUGGGGCGGAAGCCUGAUCCAGCCAUACCGCGUGGGUGAAGAAGGCCUUCGGGUUGUAAAGCCCUUUUGUUGGGAAAGAAAAGCAGCAGGUUAAUACCGCGCUGUUCUGACGGUACCCAAAGAAUAAGCACCGGCUAACUUCGUG